rnacentral:rRNA from 1 species
GAUGAACGCUGGCGGCGUGCUUAACACAUGCAAGUCGAACGGUGAAGGCGGAGCUUGCUCUGCUGGAUCAGUGGCGAACGGGUGAGUAACACGUGAGCAAUCUGCCCCUGACUCUGGGAUAAGCGCUGGAAACGGCGUCUAAUACUGGAUACGAGCUGCGAAGGCAUCUUCAGCAGCUGGAAAGAAUUUCGGUCAGGAAUGAGCUCGCGGCCUAUCAGCUUGUUGGUGAGGUAAUGGCUCACCAAGGCGUCGACGGGUAGCCGGCCUGAGAGGGUGACCGGCCACACUGGGACUGAGACACGGCCCAGACUCCUACGGGAGGCAGCAGUGGGGAAUAUUGCACAAUGGGCGAAAGCCUGAUGCAGCAACGCCGCGUGAGGGACGACGGCCUUCGGGUUGUAAACCUCUUUUAGCAGGGAAGAAGCGAAAGUGACGGUACCUGCAGAAAAAGCGCCGGCUAACUACGUG